AUGGCUGAUCGAUGUUAUAAAUCAUUAAAGGAUAAAAUCAUCAAUUUGAUUGAUGAUUAAUCUUGUACAAAAAUUAAAAAUUAAAAAAUUUACUAAGUGUUAAUAAAUUAUAAGAAGAUUAAUUAGUAAUUAGAUUUUUAAUUGACUCAAUUUUGAUUGAGCAAUUGAGAUUCAGAUCAAAUCUAAUUGAUUUGGAUUCAAUUUGACUAGGGUUGGGUU
rnacentral:lncRNA from 1 species